rnacentral:rRNA from 1 species
AUCAACUUUCGAUGGUAGGAUAGAGGCCUACCAUGGUGGUAACGGGUAACGGGGUGUUAGGGCACGACACCGGAGAGGGAGCCUGAGAAACGGCUACCACAUCCAAGGAUGGCAGCAGGCGCGCAAAUUACCCAAUCCCGACACGGGGAGGUAGUGACAAUAAAUAACAAUACGGGGUUCUUUAGGAUCUCGUAAUUGGAAUGAGUACAAUUUAAAUCUCUUAACGAGGAACAAUUGGAGGGCAAGUCUGGUGCCAGCAGCCGCGGUAAUUCCAGCUCCAAUAGCGUAUAUUAAAGUUGUUGCAGUUAAAAAGCUCGUAGUUGAAUUUCGGGGUCAGUAGGUUGGUCGUGCCACAGGUAUGUACUGGUCUCACUGAUUCCUCCUUCCUGAAGAACCGUAAUGCCAUUAAUUUGGUGUUGCGGGGAAACAGGACUGUUACUUUGAAAAAAUUAGAGUGUUUAAAGCAAGCUAACGCUUGAAUACAUUAGCAUGGAAUAAUGAAAUAGGACGAUCGAUCCUAUUUUGUUGGUUUCUAGGAUUGACGUAAUGAUUAAUAGGGAUAGUUGGGGGCAUUAGUAUUCAAUUGUCAGAGGUGAAAUUCUUGGAUUUAUUGAAGACUAACUACUGCGAAAGCAUUUGCCAAGGAUGUUUUCAUUAAUCAAGAACGAAAGUUAGGGGAUCGAAGACGAUCAGAUACCGUCGUAGUCUUAACCAUAAACUAUGCCGACUAGGGAUCGGAUGAUGUUAAUUUUAUAAUGACUCAUUCGGCGCCUUACGGGAAACCAAAGUGUUUGGGUUC